AGUGAACGCUGGCGGUAGGCCUAACACAUGCAAGUCGAACGGCAGCACAGUAAGAGCUUGCUCUUACGGGUGGCGAGUGGCGGACGGGUGAGGAAUACAUCGGAAUCUACUUUUUCGUGGGGGAUAACGUAGGGAAACUUACGCUAAUACCGCAUACGACCUACGGGUGAAAGCAGUGGAUCUUCGCACCUUGCGCGAUUGAUUGAGCCGAUGUCGGAUUAGCUAGUUGGCGGGGUAAAGGCCCACCAAGGCGACGCUCCGUAGCUGGUCUGAGAGGAUGAUCAGCCACACUGGAACUGAGACACAGCCCAGACUCCUACGGGAGGCAGCAGUGGGGAAUAUUGGACAAUGGGCGCAAGCCUGAUCCAGCCAUACCGCGUGGGUGAAGAAGGCCUUCGGGUUGUAAAGCCCUUUUGUUGGGAAAGAAAAGCAGCAGGUUAAUACCCCGCUGUUCUGACGGUACCCAAAGAAUAAGCACCGGCUAACUUCGU
rnacentral:rRNA from 1 species